GCCUUCUUAGUGCAGUAGACAGCAUAUCAGUCUCGUAAUCUAAAGGUCCUGAGUUCGAACCUCAGAGAGGGCA
rnacentral:tRNA from 1 species